AGUUGUCUGUAAUAUUUCAAGCAGCUUCUCGCUCCUGCUUUUGAAUUUCAUCGUACAAAUUUGGUCAGGAUCUCAUGGUUAGAAUUCUGGUCUGGCUUCGCCUUCUGCUUUGUGCAAAGCUAUUAUUAGGUUUUCUUCGCUGGGAAGGGUCAAGUAGGAU